UCCUACGGGAGGCAGCAGUGAGGAAUAUUGGUCAAUGGGCGGAAGCCUGAACCAGCCAAGUCGCGUGAGGGAAUAAGGCCCUACGGGUCGUAAACCUCUUUUGCCGGGGAGCAAGGGCGGGGGCGUGUCCCGGCCCGGAGAGUACCCGGAGAAAAAGCAUCGGCUAACUCCGUGCCAGCAGCCGCGGUAAUACGUAGGGGGCAAGCGUUAUCCGGAUUUACUGGGUGUAAGGGGAGCGUAGACGGCCGUGCAAGUCUGAUGUGAAAACCCGGGGCUCAACCCCGGGACUGCAUUGGAAACUGCAU
rnacentral:rRNA from 1 species